AUACAAGUUGCUUAUUCCUAACAUGGUAUUAGAGCCUAGGUUUUCUUAGCACGCGCAACUCGUGCUCCUCCCGAUCUAAUCCCUCGCACAGCCGCCACCGAUCCCGUCUAUUCUUCCCUGCCGCCUCGAUCUCUCCCCGCUGCAGCCUCGAUCUGGUCCCCGCUCUCAAAACUCGCGGCGGUUCCCGGUCCAGGCGGCUCCAGACUCGCGCGGCAGGCCCUAGGCGGCAGGCCCAGGCGGCUCCAGUCCCGCGGCAGGCUCCAGCGGCUCUCUCGCUCCACCAAUCGCUGUUGGAUCCCUUCCUGCCCCGCUCCACCAACCACCUC
rnacentral:lncRNA from 1 species